rnacentral:rRNA from 1 species
CGCGAAUAGCUCAUUACAACAGCUAACAAAUCUACUUGAUCUUGACACAAUCCUACUUGGAUAACUGUGGUAAUUCUAGAGCUAAUACAUGCAUUAAAGCUCUGACCUUCGGGGAAGAGUGCAUUUAUUAGAACAAAACCAAGCGGCUUCGGCUGUUUUCGGUUGACUCAUAGUAACUGAGCUGAUCGCAUGGUCUUGCACCGGCGACGUGUCCUUCGAGUAUCUGCCGUAUCAACUUUCGAUGGUAGUGUAUCUGACUACCAUGGUGAUCACGCGUAACGGAGAAUAAGGGUUCGACUCCGGAGAGUUCGCCUGAGAAAUCGCGAACACAUCUAAGGAAGGCAGCAGGCGCGAAAAUUACCCACUCUCAGCACGAGGAGGUAGUGACGAAAAAUAACGAGACAGUCCUCUUCGAGGUCUGUCAUCGGAAUGGGUACAAUUUAAAUCCUUUAACGAGGAUCUAUUGGAGGGCAAGUCUGGUGCCAGCAGCCGCGGUAAUUCCAGCU